rnacentral:rRNA from 1 species
AGUGAACGCUGGCGGUAGGCCUAACACAUGCAAGUCGAACGGCAGCACAGUAAGAGCUUGCUCUUACGGGUGGCGAGUGGCGGACGGGUGAGGAAUACAUCGGAAUCUACUUUUUCGUGGGGGAUAACGUAGGGAAACUUACGCUAAUACCGCAUACGACCUACGGGUGAAAGCAGGGGAUCUUCGGACCUUGCGCGAUUGAAUGAGCCGAUGUGGGAUUAGCUAGUUGGCGGGGUAAAGGCCCACCAAGGCGACGAUCCGUAGCUGUCUGAGAGGAUGAUCAGCCACACUGGAACUGAGACACGGUCCAGACUCCUACGGGAGGCAGCAGUGGGGAAUAUUGGACAAUGGGCGCAAGCCUGAUCCAGCCAUACCGCGUGGGUGAAGAAGGCCUUCGGGUUGUAAAGCACUUUUGUUGGGAAAGAAAAGCAGCAGGUUAAUACCCCGCUGUUCUGACGUUACCCAAAGAAUAAGCACCGGCUAACUUCGUG